CCAAAUCUCUGAUCAUGCUGAUAAUCAACAUUUUUUUAGAUGUAAUAAUGGAAGGGAAUUUAUAAGACAUGCCAGAUAGCAUUCUGAAAAAAGUAACUGAAGACAAUGUUGUUUAUAAUCAACUGAAGAUGUUGUACAAGUAAUUUCCCUGAUUAUUUUAUGUAUUAUAUAACAUCAUUUACCCAUUAAAAAUUCAAAUGGAAA
rnacentral:lncRNA from 1 species